GUACUUUGCAGUGCAGUGCGGACUGGAGCUGUGCUGCUGGGUGAAACCUGAAGACAAAAUGGAGGACGAGUGUUUAUCUGGGAAACGGGACCAGUGAAACACGGUUGAAAGCGAACAGAAGCACUGUAUGCCCGCAUCACAUCAACACGGAGUUGCAGAUGGGUUUGGCAGCAUGGCACUGAACGUGACAGGCGAGGAGUGACUCCAUUGCAGACAGAUAUGCCUUCAGUCCAGGGCCAGUCCUGUCACGCUACCAACUGUUCCUGUUGAACAAAUGGAUACGAUUGCUUACCAGAGUAUGU